rnacentral:rRNA from 1 species
UGGGGAAUUUUGGACAAUGGGCGAAAGCCUGAUCCAGUAAUGCCGCGUGUGUGAAGAAGGCCUUCGGGUUGUAAAGCACUUUUGUCCGGAAAGAAAUCCUUGGCUCUAAUACAGUCGGGGGAUGACGGUACCGGAAGAAUAAGCACCGGCUAACUACGUGCCAGCAGCCGCGGUAAUACGUAGGGUGCAAGCGUUAAUCGGAAUUACUGGGCGUAAAGCGUGCGCAGGCGGUUGCCGUAGUCAGGUGUGAAAGCCUUGAGCUCAACUCAAGAAAUGCACUUGAUACUGGGUGACUAGAGGACCGGAGAGGAUAGUGGAAUUCCCAGUGUAGUGGUGAAAUACGUAGAGAUUGGGAAGAACACCAGUGGCGAAGGCGGCUAUCUGGACGGUUACUGACGCUAAGACUCGAAAGCGUGGGGAGCAAACAGGAUUAGAUACCCUGGUAGUCCACGCCGUAAACGAUGGGUGCUAGACGUUGCGAGCUUGUCGUCAGUGUCGCAGCUAACNCGUUAAGCACCCG